rnacentral:rRNA from 1 species
GAACUAACAAGGAUUCCCCUAGUAACGGCGAGUGAAGCGGGAUGAGCUCAAGCUUAAAAUCUCUGUGCAAGUUUUGCAUGGCGAAUUGUAGUCUAUGGAGGCGAUGUCAGUGCGACUGCGUGGGUUAAGUUCCUUGGAAGAGGACAGCAUCGAGGGUGAUACUCCCGUAUGUACCUGUGUAGUUGCGCGUACGACACGUUUUCUUUGAGUCGCGUUGUUUGGGAAUGCAGCGCAAAGUAGGUGGUAAAUUCCAUCUAAAGCUAAAUAUUGGUGCGAGACCGAUAGCGAACAAGUACCGUGAGGGAAAGAUGAAAAGAACUUUGAAAAGAGAGUUAAAGAGUACCUGAAACUGCUGAAAGGGAAUCGAAUCGUUUCCAGUGUCUAUAAUCCGUGACAUAUUUCAUUGGCGCGUGGGUGCGUGCAGUAUUUUGGAAGUGGUUUUCCUCUCCUGGUGCUGUUGUGCGUCUGCUUGCUGGUGCCCUGUGUUGCGGUGGGACGUCAGAGUCAGUUCGUAUGCUACGGGAAAUGGCUGUUAGGAAGGUAGGCUGCUUCGGUGGCUGUUAUAUCCUGGCGUGCUAGUCGUCGUGGUUGGGACUGAGGUGCCUACAACGUGCUUUUGAGUCUUCGGGACUCUCGUUUGGUCAUUUGCUUUGACAGCUUGCUGUGUUGGUGAAUGCAUCGGGCGAUUGAGAUCUGUCGUAACUUAUUGCCGUUCGGGACUUUGACGAAAUGGAGCGAUCCGUC